UGAUCCUCCGCCUGCCGGGCUGAUUACCUCUGCUUGGCAGGGAACGCAGACAGGGACUUUCUCCACCAUCACACCUUCAGCCUUUGAUGAUGAGCUGAAUGAUAUGAUGAGGGGGGGGGCUUUGUUUUUCAUGCCACUAUGAAGCAUUUCCCACUAAGCAUUAUUAUGGCAACGAGGAUGUUUUGUUGUUUUCUCUAACUGUUGUUUUCAGGCCAACAAGCUUUACACUCAUCGCACACUAGCAAACACAGAAAAAUGGAAACCAAGGUUUUCCUCAAAUUGAAAAACUUUAAUGUAAAGUGGUCAAAUUGUAAAUGUGGAUGUCAUCAUAUUACACUUACAACAAAGACAAAACACAUUGAGAAAUGGACAUAUUAGAAAAAAAAGUACAUUCACAUAUGUCGCAAAAAAAAAUCUAACAAACAAAACAUGCAUAGAUAUGAGAUAGUCACUAAGUGUGGAAUUUACGCCUCUAAUGACCUGAAACGACUGUAAAGCAGCACAGUGGCAGCCCAUAAACCAGACCUUCACCAAAUGUCCCCAGGCUUUAAUGGUAUGUAGCUGCAGUAUUGCCUGAUUAAUGUUUAGACCGAAGGAAACCCCGUCAUUGCUCAUAUUCAAAGGGGUGACCCUCGAUCCCCAAAAUCAUAGUCCGUGGUUGGUCUUCACAUCAUAAGGUAUCAUCACGGUCCAUCUUAUUUAUAUUGUUAAAAGCGAUGUGGACUGAAAGCAGUGACGUUCAGAGCCAUAAGACCAACUGGAUCAUCAGGUCACCAUAGAGUGCUUGCAAUGGGAAGGAACCACACAAGCAUCCCCACGGCUAAAAUACUGAACUUGAGGUUUGGUGAGGUCGUGGUUUUACACUUUCACAGUAGCAGUUGGAGGAGGAGGAUGAUGUUUUGUGUACUGAUGACCAGGGGGUUGGACCGUAGCAAAGAGGCAAAUAAUAACCCAACAGAGACGACAACACACACACACACACACACAAACACAUUCAUCUUGGAGUGAUCAUGGCUUGGAGAAUGAUCCAUCAACCAGCUUUGCCAGGGAUGAGCCACCCUGCUCAUGCGGUCACAGUGUGUUUAGUUUCACUGUUCCCCUCUUAUCCUCAGCUGACUAAUAAAAAGGAUUGAUUGACUGCACCGUACCGUCUCUUGGUUAUAAAGUCCUAAUUACCAUGCCGUCAAAUUAGUAUGAAAAGACACACACACACACACACACACACACACACACAACGCUUGUAAUAAUGGCCAAUCAGAGUAGGUGUCAUUUGGAUGCCACUAUGCACAGUUGAGAGAAAAAAAACUGUAAUCUUUCUACCUCAAGCAGUACUCCUGACAUCCAAUAAGCAACCCCAUAUUUGCUUUCCCCCAUUUAUUUAUGCUCAACACAAAAUACAUCCACUUUGUGCCAUUAGAACUAGAAAGAAGGAGAAAAAUUAAAUAGCAUUUUUGUACAUUUUAUCUAAUCAACACAUUUACCAUCAAACUCAGACAUCACUUACAUUAACCAUAAAAUCCUCACAAAGACAGAUCCACCAAUAACGUUGGUGUUGAAAGACUAAGGUCGUUCCCUAAAUGUCUCGUCCUUCAUGAAUCACAGAAUAACACAAUGUAGUCCCCCUUAGAGAUUAUCUUUAAAGCAGAGUAAAAGCUGUGCGUGACUGCCUAUAUUACUACAAAUUCUCUUAUUCAUUCUGAACUGAACUCGGAAUAGAAACUGUCCCUCUAAUCAAGUUUAGGAGAACCAAACAUCGAUCUCCUACCAAGAGAGUGUCAGUAAAACUGCAGGGAGUGACAUUUAAAUAGCCUGUAGUGUCAUUUUAGUAUUUCCUUUUGGCGUUCCUUUUUUAAUGUUCAAGUGUCAUUUUUUAUUUUUUUAUUUGGCGUGCCUUACAGUUAUAUGGUUUCAUUUUCACAAGACAGUUUCACAGUGAAUUUGUCAUUUUUUUUUUUUGUAAAAGGUGCAGAUGAGACAAAUGAAACAGACACGUCAGGAGUACACAAAAGUCCACACACGCACGCACACGCACGCACGCACGCACACACACACACACAGCACUGGACAGCAAGCAACUUGUCUAUCAAAUUGCCUGUGAAACUCCUUUCCCUGUUAAGGCAUCAGAGGUGAAGUUUUCAAGAAAAGAGAAAAUGCAGAUUAUUCGCACAGUCAUAAAAAGAGUUAUCUUCAAUAACACACACACAUACAGGCUGGUCACAGGCCAAAACACUCACAUUAGCUCAAUGCAAAAAGUGUGGCUUAUAUACAUGUAAAUACAACAUUUACAAGAUGAUGAGGUUUGCCUUCAGGUAAUCUUUUCCAGCCAAGAGUCAAAAA
ensembl:lncRNA